AGGUGAUUUCACCCGAAGUGGCCGGUUCGCUGCUUCUCUCGGGGUAUUAAAUUAUUGUGCCGGUAUUCAAAACUUUUCUACAAACCAACUUAAGUAUCUCGUACUUACAUUUCAUUUUCGUUACACGAUAAAUAAGCGAUGAGGCUCGUGAUGCCGGGCUGUGUGAGCCACGUGCGGAGCGUGCCGGCGCUACGCGUGCUCGUUCUUAUUAUGGCUAUGGCUCUAUAUUUAUCUAUGGGUGCUACAGUUUUCCAAGCAAUCGAAGGACCUGUUGAAAAGGCAAGAGAGGAACGCGUGGAGAUGGCGAAAAGUAAUUUUCUACGCGAUCAUCCUUCUG